rnacentral:rRNA from 1 species
AUGUCCAGUCAAGGGCAAAAAACGUUCAAGAUCCUGUGCCGCACCAAUGAGGACUACUGCAUCACCGUCCGCUGGGAUGACGACGGGGGCAUCGCGGUCGUCAUGGCGCCAACAAACCCCCGCGACCAGCAGCAGGUAAGCACUGGUACAAGGACACGAGGUUCAGCUCUACGGAGGACGAGGACGGGUUCCCGGCGUUCGCACUCGUCUGGGCAGUCUGAGCCCGUAACUCUGGUGCCGUACAAGUACGACCCAGAGGCGGUGGACGAAUCGGUGCUGUGGACGGAGAGCGACGAUGUGGGCGACGGCUUCCGCUGCAUCCGCAUGAUCAACAACAUCCACCUCAACUUCGACGCGUUGGAUGGCGUGACGGAACUCCAGGACGGCACCCCCAUCGUGCUGUGGGAGUGGCUCGAGGGGGCGAACCAGUCCUGGAUGAUCCUGGCGUGGGGCACCGA